CGAAGUUGCGUCGACUGCAAAUGCCAACGUUAGGUCUGUGAAUUACUCCAAAAUUUGCAAAAAAGUAAUCUUCAAACAUGGUCAAACUUUCGUUAGUCCUGAUGAGUGUUUUAGGAACACCCGAAAAAGAUCAACAUCAAGUCGCAAGAAAAAAGGAAGAAGCAGUGUCUCAAAACUUUGAUGGAAGUCCAAAGAAUUUUGCGACAAUCUGAAGGACAUUAAGCUCAACCAUCAGUGAUUUGAUGUGAAAAGUUUGAGUUUUAAGGUGUUGACAUUGCUACGUUGGAUCUGUGGUGAAAAUAUGCAACCCAGCUCACUCAUUUAUAUACAAUGUUUUUAAAUGCACAUUUAAAGCAUAUCAUGAAAUGAUGAGCAAAAAAAUGGUUCCUUUGAUUUUUUCUCUGUGGUCCAAUAUUUUUAGUGGUGAUUGAACCAACAUUAUGUCAUUAAGAGACGUCAUUUAGACUCUUUUUAUCCUUGUUGAUCAGAUGGAAUUUCAGUCUUUUUUAUUUUUCCAUUUUUUUUGUUAAAAACAUGUUUGAAUUGAAGAUAAGGGUGUAGCAAAAAGUGUGUCUAAAAGACAGUGGCUCGUUGGUGGGGUUAAAUAUUUAGCGUAAAUCUGGAGUCGCUCAGUAAUUGGUGCUUUCUGGGUACUUUGCAACAAGGUGGACUUAAAAAUAUAAAUGUGUUUGGUUAACUGUCUGGUGAGCUAUGAAAUUAGACCAAAAUAUGAACGCUGCCAUGUAAUAAAGUGACAUUUUAGAGCAUUAUGGAGAAUAGUUGCGUCGCAGGCCUGCUUAAGUGAAGGCAUUCUGAAAAACCCUGCGUCUUGGACGGCUAAAUGCGGUCACUGUACUUUUGAAUGUACUACUUAAUAUCAACUUCCCAGUCAUUGGCUAUUUCUACCGGUACUUUUUCUAAUCGAUUAUUUGCUUGAUAAACAUUGCAUUACGAUUGAACUAUUAAAAAACUAUUUUGGUAUGGCCAAUUUCAAUAAA